rnacentral:rRNA from 1 species
UGCCAGCACGUCAUGGUGGGAACUCUAAGGAGACUGCCUAUGUUAAGUAGGAGGAAGGUGGGGAUGACGUCAAGUCCUCAUGGCCCUUACGCCCGGGGCUGGAAACGUGCUACAAUGGCCGGUACAAAGGGCUGCAAUACCGUGAGGUGGAGCCAAUCCCAAAAAACCGGUCUCAGUUGGGAUUGGAGUCUGCAACUCGACUCCAUGAACGUGGAAUCGCUAGUAAUCGUGGAUCAGCAUGCCACGGUGAAUACGUUCCCGGGUCUUGNACACA